rnacentral:rRNA from 1 species
CCCCCCAAGGUUUUGGGGGGUAAAAAUCCGGGGGGCAAGAAAGCCCGGGCCUUUCAGUUUGUUGGGAGGAAAGGCUCCACAAGGGGAGGCGGGUACCCGCCUUGAGAGGCCCCCGCCCCACUGGGGAUUGAACCCGGCCCAGACUCCUACGGGGGGCAGCAGUGGGGAAUUUUGCACAAUGGGCGAAAGCCUGAUGCAGCGACGCCGCGUGAGGGAUGACGGCCUUCGGGUUGUAACCUCUUUCAGCAGGGAAGAAGCGAAAGUGACGGUACCUGCAGAAGAAGCGCCGGCUAACUACGUGCCAGCAGCCGCGGUAAUACGUAGGGCGCAAGCGUUGUCCGGAAUUAUUGGGCGUAAAGAGCUCGUAGGCGGCUUGUCGCGUCGGUUGUGAAAGCCCGGGGCUUAACCCCGGGUCUGCAGUCGAUACGGGCAGGCUAGAGUUCGGUAGGGGAGAUCGGAAUUCCUGGUGUAGCGGUGAAAUGCGCAGAUAUCAGGAGGAACACCGGUGGCGAAGGCGGAUCUCUGGGCCGAUACUGACGCUGAGGAGCGAAAGCGUGGGGAGCGAACAGGAUUAGAUACCCUGGUAGUCCACGCCGUAAACGGUGGGCACUAGGUGUGGGCAACAUUCCACGUUGUCCGUGCCGCAGCUAACGCAUUAAGUGCCCCGCCUGGGGAGUACGGCCGCAAGGCUAAAACUCAAAGGAAUUGACGGGGGCCCGCACAAGCGGCGGAGCAUGUGGCUUAAUUCGACGCAACGCGAAGAACCUUACCAAGGCUUGACAUACACCGGAAAGCAUCAGAGAUGGUGCCCCCCUUGUGGUCGGUGUACAGGUGGUGCAUGGCUGUCGUCAGCUCGUGUCGUGAGAUGUUGGGUUAAGUCCCGCAACGAGCGCAACCCUUGUCCCGUGUUGCCAGCAACUCUUCGGAGGUUGGGGACUCACGGGAGACCGCCGGGGUCAACUCGGAGGAAGGUGGGGACGACGUCAAGUCAUCAUGCCCCUUAUGUCUUGGGCUGCACACGUGCUACAAUGGCCGGUACAAUGAGCUGCGAUACCGCAAGGUGGAGCGAAUCUCAAAAAGCCGGUCUCAGUUCGGAUUGGGGUCUGCAACUCGACCCCAUGAAGUCGGAGUCGCUAGUAAUCGCAGAUCAGCAUUGCUGCGGUGAAUACGUUCCCGGGCCUUGUACACACCGCCCGUCACGUCACGAAAGUCGGUAACACCCGAAGCCGGUGGCCCAACCCCUUGUGGGAGGGAGCUGUCGAAGGUGGGACU